rnacentral:tRNA from 1 species
GGUUGUUUAGCUCAGAGGUUAGGCGCAUUCCCCUUGUACUCAUGGAAGGCAGCUGUUCGAAUCAGCUAGGAACAU